rnacentral:rRNA from 1 species
GACGAACGCUGGCGGCGUGCCUAAUACAUGCCAGUAGAACGCUGAAGAGAGGAGCUUGCUCUUCUUGGAUGAGUUGCGAACGGGUGAGUAACGCGUAGGUAACCUGCCUGGUAGCGGGGGAUAACUAUUGGAAACGAUAGCUAAUACCGCAUAAAAUGGAUUAUCGCAUGAUAAUCCAUUGAAAGGUGCAAAUGCAUCACUACCAGAUGGACCUGCGUUGUAUUAGCUAGUUGGUGGGGUAACGGCUCACCAAGGCGACGAUACAUAGCCGACCUGAGAGGGUGAUCGGCCACACUGGGACUGAGACACGGCCCAGACUCCUACGGGAGGCAGCAGUAGGGAAUCUUCGGCAAUGGACGGAAGUCUGACCGAGCAACGCCGCGUGAGUGAAGAAGGUUUUCGGAUCGUAAAGCUCUGUUGUAAGAGAAGAACGAGUGUGAGAGUGGAAAGUUCACACUGUGACGGUAUCUUACCAGAAAGGGACGGCUAACUACGUG